AUUUAAGUAGUUUAUUUAAAAUUUUGAUUUGUGGAGUCAAAGAUAUUAUUAUUAAUCUUAAAUA
rnacentral:tRNA from 1 species